rnacentral:tRNA from 1 species
CAUUGUUUAAUAUAAUUGUAUGUUUGUUUUCCAAACAAAAAGAUUAAGCGGAGCUUAAAAUAGUGA